UAGCAUAUCAAUAAGCGGAGGAAAAGAAACCAACAGGGAUUGCCUCAGUAACGGCGAGUGAAGCGGCAACAGCUCAAAUUUGAAAUCUGGCCUCUUUGGGGUCCGAGUUGUAAUUUGUAGAGGAUGUUUCGGGUACCGCCUCGGUUUAAAUUUCUUGGAACAGAAUGUCAAAGAGGGUGAGAAUCCCGUCUUGGACCGGCGGUAGGGCCCAUGUGAAACUCCUUCGACGAGUCGAGUUGUUUGGGAAUGCAGCUCAAAAUGGGUGGUAAAUUUCAUCUAAAGCUAAAUAUUGGCCAGAGACCGAUAGCGCACAAGUAGAGUGAUCGAAAGAUGAAAAGCACUUUGAAAAGAGAGUUAAACAGUAUGUGAAAUUGUUGAAAGGGAAGCGCUUACAACCAGACUUGCGCGCGGCGGUUCCCCCUUCCUUUUGGUUGGGCUACUCCGUCGUGUCCAGGCCAACAUCGGUUCUGGGGGUCGGUUAAAGACCCUGGGAAUGUACCUACCCUUCGGGCGUAGACUUAUAGCCCAGGGUGUCAUGCGACCUCCCGGGACCGAGGAACGCGCUUCGGCUCGGAUGUUGGCGUAAUGGUUGUCAGCGACCCGUCUUGAAACACGGACCAAGGAGUCUAACAUCUAUGCGAGUGUUUGGGUGUCAAACCCGGAACGCGAAAUGAAAGUGAACGGAGGUGGGAAGCCGUGAGGCUGCACCAUCGACCGAUCCUGAUGUCUUCGGAUGGAUUUGAGUAAGAGCAUAGCUGUUGGGACCCGAAAGAUGGUGAACUAUGCCUGAAUAGGGUGAAGCCAGAGGAAACUCUGGUGGAGGCUCGCAGCGGUUCUGACGUGCAAAUCGAUCGUCAAAUUUGGGUAUAGGGGCGAAAGACUAAUCGAACCAUC
rnacentral:rRNA from 1 species